UGGGAAAGUCUUUGUUAACAUUAUUUUUAUCUUUUCUUAUUUUCUUGGGUUUGAACAUUGUGAUUCUUCCUUUAAUCUUUUUUUUUUUUUCAUUCUUAAUUAAAGAAAAAAAAACUUGCUUGUUGCCCAAGCCGUAGGUUUUCAGUCUUUCAAAAAAACAACUUGCAACAUCAAAUAUAUAAAUAAAUAAUUAUUAUUUA
rnacentral:lncRNA from 1 species